rnacentral:rRNA from 1 species
AAUAUUGGCCAAUGGGGGCAACCCUGAUCCAGCCAUGCCGCUUGUGUGAAGAAGGUCUUCGGAUGGUAAAGCACCUUAAGUUGGGAGGAUGGGCUUUAGGUUAAUACCCUGAAGUUGUGACGUUACCAACAGAAUAACGACUGGCUACCUCUGUGCCAUCAGCCGCGGUAAUACAGAGGGUGCAAGCGUUAAUCGGAAUUACUGGGAGUAAAGCGCGCGUAGGUGGUUCAGUAAGAUGGGUGUGAAAUCCCCGGGAUUAACCUGGGAACUGCUUUCAUAACUGCUGAGCUAGAGUACGGUAGAGGGUAGUGGAAUUUCCUGUGUAGCGGUGAAAUGCGUAGAUAUAGGAAGGAACACCAGUGGCGAAGGCGACUACCUGGACUGAUACUGACACUGAGGUGCGAAAGCGUGGGGAGCAAAC